rnacentral:rRNA from 1 species
AUUGAACGCUGGCGGCAUGCCUUACACAUGCAAGUCGAACGGCAGCACGGAGCUUGCUCUGGUGGCGAGUGGCGAACGGGUGAGUAAUAUAUCGGAACGUACCCAAGAGUGGGGGAUAACGUAGCGAAAGUUACGCUAAUACCGCAUACGAUCUAAGGAUGAAAGCAGGGGACCGCAAGGCCUUGUGCUCCUGGAGCGGCCGAAAUCUGAUUAGCUAGUUGGUGAGGUAAAGGCUCACCAAGGCAUUGAGCAGUAGCUGGUCUGAGAGGACGACCAGCCACACUGGAACUGAGACACGGUCCAGACUCCUACGGGAGGCAGCAGUGGGGAAUUUUGGACAAUGGGGGCAACCCUGAUCCAGCAAUGCCGCGUGAGUGAAGAAGGCCUUCGGGUUGUAAAGCUCUUUUGUCAGGGAAGAAACGGUCGUGGCUAAUAUCCAUGGCUAAUGACGGUACCUGAAGAAUAAGCACCGGCUAACUACGUGCCAGCCGCCGCGGUAA